UACAGAGGGUGCAAGCGUUGUUCGGAAUUAUUGGGCGUAAAGCGCGUGUAGGCGGCCAUGCAAGUCGGGUGUGAAAGCCCUCGGCUCAACCGAGGAAGAGCGCCCGAAACUGCAAGGCUUGAGUACCGGAGAGGGUGGCGGAAUUCCCCAAGUAGAGGUGAAAUUCGUAGAUAUGGGGAGGAACACCGGUGGCGAAGGCGGCCACCUGGACGGAUACUGACGCUGAGACGCGAAAGCGUGGGGAGCAAACAGG
rnacentral:rRNA from 2 species